UUCAGGUUGGCGCCGAGGGAGGAGCAGCAAGGCAAGCUCACGUUACCCAAGUAGCAGGCCUCCGGUGUCCUGAGUCCUGAUGCCACAGGUAGCUGGAGCUGCUGUUGCCCUUGGUUUAUGCACGAUGUAUGUUUUGCCUGCCAGCUUUUUUGAUUGGUCCGUCUAUGUUGUGUGAGAUCGUUUGGUGCUGAGAGCCAUGGCAGCGCUAAACAUGUUCUUGUUGCAUAUUGUUUUGAUUUCUUUAAAUGAAUAUUAGGCAUAGCAGUGGCCGAAGGCGGCCGGGUUCUCGCACCUAUCGGAGCUAGAGGAUUCCGUCGCUUAAGCCAAUGGGUGGAAGUCCUUCUUUACAAGCAGCAGCUCCACAAUCGCCUUUGCCAUUGAUGCCAGUGAGUCAGCUAGAUCAAGUUGCCUUCUUGCUAUUACCGCCCUUGUUGUUUCUUGUGUUGCUUUUCAAUGGGAUUGCUUGCCUGGUGUAUUGCACUUUAGGUAUGUCGCCCGGGUUUCCCAUAUGGAAUGUAGAUGCUAGAAGCUCAACCUCGUGUACAUGGUUUUGGGGAGGAGAUUAAGUCAGCUGCUGAUUGAAAAGUUCAGAGAUGAGAAUGACAACUACAUGAAGAAUGUUAUAAGUGGAAUAGACAAAAGAAAUUAUGUUUUCCUUACUGAUGCCUGCAUGCAAGUAUCCUAACCCUGGCACCUGCAUUACUU
rnacentral:lncRNA from 1 species